rnacentral:rRNA from 1 species
AUACGGAGGGGGCUAGCGUUGUUCGGAAUUACUGGGCGUAAAGCGCGCGUAGGCGGAUCGUUAAGUCAGGGGUGAAAGCCCGGAGCUCAACUCCGGAACUGCCCUUGAUACUGGCGAUCUCGAGUCCGGGAGAGGUGAGCGGAAUUCCUAGUGUAGAGGUGAAAUUCGUAGAUAUUAGGAAGAACACCAGUGGCGAAGGCGGCUCACUGGCUCGGUACUGACGCUGAGGUGCGAAAGCGUGGGGAGCAAACAGGAUUAGAUACCCUAGUAGUCC